CUUUCUAUUUUCACUUCAGAUUUUUUUUUACCUCUUCCUUAUCUAAUCCCAUGUCCAAACCACCCUUUGGAUGAGAGUUUAUGCCAUAUGGGGCACCCUUUAUAUAAGGAAUGAAGGGACGCCACAUAUUUUUCCAAGGGGCACCAACUCUUGGCAUCCCACCUCCCUUACAUGCUAAAAUCAAUUUUUAGCAUGGAAUCCCAUGGGUUAAGGUAUGGAAUAAGAGGUCUUUAACAAGUAGAAGGACUCUUCCUCUACUAAAAAAAAUUAGAACACCAAACUAUGGUA
rnacentral:lncRNA from 1 species